rnacentral:rRNA from 1 species
GACGAACGCUGGCGGCGUGCCUAACACAUGCAAGUCGAACGGAGAAUUUUAUUUCGGUAGAAUUCUUAGUGGCGAACGGGUGAGUAACGCGUAGGCAACCUACCCUUUAGACGGGGACAACAUUCCGAAAGGAGUGCUAAUACCGGAUGUGAUCAUCUUGCCGCAUGGCAGGAUGAAGAAAGAUGGCCUCUACAAGUAAGCUAUCGCUAAAGGAUGGGCCUGGGUCUGAUUAGCUAGUUGGUAGUGUAACGGACUACCAAGGCGAUGAUCAGUAGCCGGUCUGAGAGGAUGAACGGCCACAUUGGGACUGAGACACGGCCCAAACUCCUACGGGAGGCAGCAGUGGGGAAUCUUCCGCAAUGGACGAAAGUCUGACGGAGCAACGCCGCGUGAGUGAUGAAGGAUUACGGUCUGUAAAGCUCUGUUGUUUAUGACGAACGUGCAGUGUGUGAACAAUGCAUUGCAAUGACGGUAGUAAACGAGGAAGCCACGGCUAACUACGUGCCAGCCGCCGCGGUAAGAC